UCCCCUCCACGAUCAAAUUGUGCCAAGCUAAGGAUAGGAUAGGAUAGGAUGGUUUGCAUCGCACUCCUUUGGGCGUUCCUCCUCUUUCCAUGUGUAGCACCUGUCGCGUGCCUCCCCUCCACGAUCGAAAUAAGCCCGACGGCAGCGCGGGUGCUACUCCCCUGGGGCUUGUCCAGCAGUGCAAGCGUGGGCUCGAGCCUCGCGCUCUGCCCCAGCCUCCCAGCCACUCCGGCAAUCGGUAAGCCUCCUCUCCCGCCCCGUCCGCGGCACCUCCAUUGGCAAGACUUGGAGCCCUGCGGCCGCGGACAGGUAAAAUCUUGGCGCGGGGAGUACGGAGAAUCGGAGCGUCAUGGAGGAUCCAUCCAACUCGAUCUGGGCGGCAACUCCCAGUGCCAGAGACAUGGAGGAACCAUCCAACCACCAUGCCCGAUGGAUCCUCAGCAGCAAGUCCGCAUCCCCGCAGAGAUCUCGUGAAUCCGAGGUAUGAUUUUCAUGGAUGACGAUUCGAGUAAGGCAGGGAUUGUCGCAUCCAAGUAAGUGGAUGAAUCGAAAUGGAUCUGCACCAAGCCCGUCUAGCUCAGUUGGUAGAGCGCAAGGCUCUUAACCUUGUGGUCGUGGGUUCGAGCCCCACGGUGGGCGAUUUCAAUUUUUUCCAUCUUUUGGUUUGAGUUACUUAUUUUCUUUCCCUUUUCUGAAAAAACUACUAUCAUUUCAGCCUGAAGUCUCUGACAGAAGCGAAGCUCCUUUCCAGAGCAAACCUCCCUCACACUAUGUGCAGCUGUGGUGAACGUGUUUUGCUCAUGUUUGAAUUACAUCUCUUCAUGCUUGCCGAUGUUCAUGUAACGACUUUACAUUUUAGUGACUUCAGGCGAUUCAUGUAGAUUCUGUUGCAUGCACCAUUACCAUGCCUUGGGAGUACUACCUCAUCCGGGUUUAUUAGGUCCCUAGUAUUUUGAGCCAAAUUUUCAUCAUUCAUAUGACUAACAAAAUAUAGAUUCUAUGCUACAAAAAGUACACUAUUGGAUUGGAUUUGUAUUUGAAAGAGCUUUUCGAAGGCAUAAUUUUUAUGACAUAUAGUUUACAUUUUAUUAGUUAAAUUUGUUGAUUAAACUUUAGCCCAAAAUGAGAGGAGGUCUAAUAAAUCCGGACGGAUGUACUCCCUCCGUUCCAAAAUAGAUGACUCAACUUUGUACUAAUUUUGCUACAAAGUUAGUACAAAGUUGGGUCAUCUAUUUUGGAACGGAGGGAAUAGUAUUUUUGUUAGUGGUGCAUUCCCAAGAUUUCUGUUCCAUUUUGCUCUAGUUACUUAGGUCUACAUUGUGAACGCGAAAUUGAUAUGCAAAGCCCGUCUAGCUCAGUUGGUAGAGCGCAAGGCUCUUAACCUUGUGGUCGUGGGUUUGAGCCCCACAGUGGGUGCUUCCAUAUAUUUUUUUUUGGAAAACUACCAUCAUUCAGCCUGAAGUUUCUGAUUCUGACAGAAACGAACCUCCUUUCCAGAACAAACACCACUGCUAAUCCCGCCAUGUCAACCAUGGUGAACGAGGUCAGGAGCUACCUGACCCGAGAUCGAGAGAUCUUGUGUGCUACGGGCUACCCAUGCCCGUGGUCAGAGCGGGUUCGAGCCAUGUGAGCUCACUGUCCGUGCCAUCAUUUAGUUGCUGAUGUUUGUGUUCGAACUAAGGUUCGAAACAUGUGAGGUCAUGUUCGCAACUGAAAAUGUCUUCAUGCUUGCGGAUGUUCGUGUAACUUUGGUGCUUCUGCAAGUUGCUAGAAGCCCGGAAGGAUGCAGAACCGACUUUUACAUUUUAUGGCUGCCUUUCAUAUAAUUUCCGUUGCAUGAACCAUUGCCAUGCCUGGAAAAAAAAUUGGUUAGUGCUGCAUUUUUAUGAUGUAACCGUUCCAUUCUGCUGUAGUUGCUCUCUCUUUGAACAUUGAACGUAGAAGCAGCAUGUCAGGCCCGUCUAGCUCAGUUGGUAGAGCGCAAGGCUCUUAACCUUGUGGUCGUGGGUUCGAGCCCCACGGUGGGCGCUUCCAUUCUUUAGUGUUUUUUGCAAAACUACAAUCAUUCAGGCUGAAGUUUCUGAUUCUGACAGAAACGAAGCUCCUUUCCAGAGCAAAUAUCACUGCUCAUCCCGCCAUGUCAACCAUGCUGAACGAGGUCAGGAGCUACCUUUUUUUUUGAGCCGGACAUUACCCCUUUCCAUUACUUUUCAUAACGGAAAUAACAUCAGUUCGACUUGAGAGCUACCUGCCCGAGAUCGAGAGAUCUUGUGUGCUACGGGCUACCGAUGCCCGUGGUCAGAGCAGGUUCGAGCCAUGUGAGCUCACUACUGUCCGUACCAUUGUUUAGUUGCUGAUGUUUGUGUUUGAACUAAGGUUCGAAACAUGUGAGGUCAUGUUUGAACUAAAUCUCUUCAUGCUUUGUGGAUGUUUGUGUAACUUCGGUGCUCUGGAAGUUGCUGGAAUCCCGGAAGGAUGCAGAAGCGACUUUACAUUUUAUGACUGACCUUCAUAUAAUUUCCGUUGCAUAAACCAUUGCCAUGCCUGGAAUGUUUUUUUUUCUGGUUAGUGCUGCAUUUUUAAGAUUGAACUGUUCCAUUCUGCUGUACUUACUCUCUGUGUAAAUUUCGAACGUAGAAGCAGCAGCAUGUCAGGCCCGUCUAGCUCAGUUGGUAGAGCGCAAGGCUCUUAUCCUUGUGCUCGUGGGUUCGAGCCCCACGGUGGGCGAUUCACUGUUUUUUCGUACUCUUUUGAAUUUCGGGAAUAGUUUUUUUUUUGCAUCAAAUUUUCAGGAAUAGUUGAGUUAUUUGCUUUCCCUUCUUUGGAUAACUACAAUCAUUUCACUUGUAUUUAGGAACGGAGGGAGUAUAUUUAUCGAGCCGAGGAGCUACCUGACUGGAGAUCGACAGAUUUGUGUGCUAACAGCUAAGGCUUGCCCAAGGUUGAGCCGUGAGCUCGCUUCCUUUCAAAGAGUCCAGGCUUGUACGAGCCUAACCACGACAGUUCCCAAGGACUGUAGCAGCCGCUCGAGAGUCAUUUUCCAAAAAUGUAGCAUCCAAAUUUAAUAUAUAAACCUUGCUGGAGGUUUCUCCCAUUUAACAACCACCUCAUUACUCUGGAGUGGACACUUUGCAAAAUUUGAUGUGAUUGUGUUUAUACUUCUGGGAUCCUGGACA